rnacentral:rRNA from 1 species
GGGUUGUGAGGUUAAGCGACUAAGCGUACACGGUGGAUGCCCUGGCAGUCAGAGGCGAUGAAGGGCGUGCUAAUCUGCGAUAAGCGCCGGUAAGGUGAUAUGAACCGUUAUAACCGGCGAUACCCGAAUGGGGAAACCCAGUGUGAUUCGUCACACUAUCAUUAACUGAAUCCAUAGGUUAAUGAGGCGAACCGGGGGAACUGAAACAUCUAAGUACCCCGAGGAAAAGAAAUCAACCGAGAUUCCCCCAGUAGCGGCGAGCGAACGGGGAGGAGCCCAGAGCCUGAAUCAGCAUGUGUGUUAGUGGAAGCGUCUGGAAAGGCGCGCGAUACAGGGUGACAGCCCCGUACACAAAAGCGCAUAUGCUGUGAGCUCGAUGAGUAGGGCGGGACACGUGGUAUCCUGUCUGAAUAUGGGGGGACCAUCCUCCAAGGCUAAAUACUCCUGACUGACCGAUAGUGAACCAGUACCGUGAGGGAAAGGCGAAAAGAACCCCGGCGAGGGGAGUGAAAAAGAACCUGAAACCGUGUACGUACAAGCAGUGGGAGC